GCAUAUCAAUAAGCGGAGGAAAAGAAACCAACAGGGAUUGCCCUAGUAACGGCGAGUGAAGCGGCAACAGCUCAAAUUUGAAAUCUGGCUCUUUUAGAGUCCGAGUUGUAAUUUGCAGAGGGCGCUUUGGCUUUGGCAGCGGUCCAAGUUCCUUGGAACAGGACGUCACAGAGGGUGAGAAUCCCGUACGUGGUCGCUGGCUAUUGCCGUGUAAAGCCCCUUCGACGAGUCGAGUUGUUUGGGAAUGCAGCUCUAAAUGGGAGGUACAUUUCUUCUAAAGCUAAAUAUUGGCCAGAGACCGAUAGCGCACAAGUAGAGUGAUCGAAAGAUGAAAAGCACUUUGGAAAGAGAGUCAAACAGCACGUGAAAUUGUUGAAAGGGAAGCGCUUGCAGCCAGACUUGCUUGCAGUUGCUCAUCCGGGCUUUUUUGCCCGGUGCACUCUUCUGUAGGCAGGCCAGCAUCAGUUUGGGCGGUAGGAUAAAGGUCUCUGUCACGUACCUCCUUUCGGGGAGGCCUUAUAGGGGAGGCGACAUACUACCAGCCUGGACUGAGGUCCGCGCAUCUGCUAGGAUGCUGGCGUAAUGGCUGUAAGCGGCCCGUCUUGAAACACGGACCAAGGAGUCUAACAUCUAUGCGAGUGUUUGGGUGUCAAGCCCGAGCGCGUAAUGAAAGUGAACGGAGGUGGGAACCCGCAAGGGUGCACCAUCGACCGAUCCUGAUGUCUUCGGAAGGAUUUGAGUAAGAGCAUGGCUGUUGGGACCCGAAAGAUGGUGAACUAUGCUUGAAUAGGGUGAAGCCAGAGGAAACUCUGGUGGAGGCUCGCAGCGGUUCUGACGUGCAAAUCGAUCGUCAAAUUUGGGCAUAGGGGCGAAAGACUAAUCGAACUAUCUAGUAGCUGGUUCCUGCCGA
rnacentral:rRNA from 1 species